CCUACGGGUGGCAGCAGUGAGGAAUAUUGGUCAAUGGGCUUACGCCUGAACCAGCCAAGUCGCGUGAGGGAAGACUGCCCUAUGGGUUGUAAACCUCUUUUGUCAGGGAGCAAAGCCGGCUACGCGUAGCCGGACUGAGAUUACCUGAAAAAAAAGCUCCGGUUAACGCCGUGCCAGCAGCCGCGGUAAUACGGAGGAUGCGAGCGUUAUCCGGUUUUUUGGGGUUUAAAGGGUGCGGAGGGGGAAUGCCAAGUCAGCGGUAAAAUCGCGGGGCUCAACCUCGCUCCGCCGUUGAAACUGGCGUUCUUGAGUGGGCGAGAAGUAUGCGGAAUGCGUGGUGUAGCGGUGAAAUGCAUAGAUAUCACGCAGAACUCCGAUUGCGAAGGCAGCAUACCGGCGCCCAACUGACGCUGAAGCACGAAAGCGUGGGUAUCGAACAGGAUUAGAUACCCGAGUAGUC
rnacentral:rRNA from 1 species